rnacentral:rRNA from 1 species
GACGAACGCUGGCGGCGUGCUUAACACAUGCAAGUCGUACGGUAAGGCCCUUUCGGGGGUACACGAGUGGCGCACGGGUGAGUAACACGUGAGUAACCUGCCCACAACUUUGGGAUAACGCUAGGAAACUGGUGCUAAUACUGGAUAUGUGCUCCUGCUGCAUGGUGGGGGUUGGAAAGCUCCGGCGGUUGUGGAUGGACUCGCGGCCUAUCAGCUUGUUGGUGGGGUAGUGGCCCACCAAGGCGGCGAAGGGUAGCCGGCCUGAGAGGGUGACCGGCCACAUUGGGACUGAGAUACGGCCCAGACUCCUACGGGAGGCAGCAGUGGGGAAUAUUGCACAAUGGGCGCAAGCCUGAUGCAGCAACGCCGCGUGCGGGAUGACGGCCUUCGGGUUGUAAACCGCUUUCAGCAGGGACGAAGCUUUUUGUGACGGUACCUGCAGAAGAAGCACCGGCUAACUACGUG